rnacentral:lncRNA from 1 species
AUUUACCUCGUUUGGUAGUCGAAAAAUCCUCUGGUGCGGCGGCGGGUAGUGGUGGGCGGCUCUUCCGGUGACUGGUUCUUCUUCUCUGGCGAUGGUACUGGCGGCUAGGGUUUGGGGUCGGGUGUGAGUGAGGUUAUUUAUAACCUUCCCCUUUUAAUCUCAGUCGUCCAUCACGUUUUAAUCUGGGCUGUCCGAUCGCGAUUAAAAUGGAAAUAAAUCUGGGCCGUCCAUCGCAAUGCAAUCUGGGCUGUUCAUGCGUGAUUCAAUCUGGGCCGUCCGCACGCGUGAGAUCUGGGCCAUCCGUGCGCGUGAGAUCUGGGCCGUCCGCACGCGUGAGAUCUGGACCGUUCAAUCGCGUGUACGCGGAUCGCUCACGUGGCUCCGUCCAGCGUGGUCUCCCGCGUCAGCUUCUUUGCCACGUGACGUGUUCUGGUUGGCCAGGGCGACUGACUGGGCUGCUGACGUGGCUG